UUUCAUGAUGAAUAAGCGCUUGCGCGAUAAUCCCAGCUCGUUGAAUCCCUCAUUUUAAAAAUCACGUUAGAGGGCAUCUUGAAAUUAAAGUACUGCACUGAAAA
rnacentral:snoRNA from 1 species